rnacentral:rRNA from 1 species
CAAGUCGAACGCGAACGUUCCCUUCGGGGAGCAAGUAGAGUGGCGCACGGGUGAGUAACACGUAGGUAAUCUACCUUUGGAUUGGGAAUAACACCGAGAAAUCGGUGCUAAUACCGAAUAAUGCAGCGGCACCUAAUGGUGACAGUUGUUAAAGCGGGGGAUCGCAAGACCUCGCGUCUAAAGAGGAGCCUGCGGCGGAUUAGCUAGUUGGUAAGGUAACGGCUUACCAAGGCGAUGAUCCGUAGCCGGCCUGAGAGGGCGGUCGGCCACACUGACACUGACAUACGGGUCAGACUCCUACGGGAGGCAGCAGUCGGGAAUUUUGGGCAAUGGGCGAAAGCCUGACCCAGCAACGCCGCGUGAAGGAUGAAAUCCCUCGGGAUGUAAACUUCGCAAGAACGGGAAGAAUAAGUCGGUGCUAACACCAUCGGCGAUGACGGUACUGUUUGUAAGCUCCGGCUAACUCCGUGCCAGCAGCCGCGGUAAUACGGGGGGAGCAAGCGUUGUUCGGAUUUACUGGGCGUAAAGGGCGCGUAGGCGGCCACCGCAAGUCGACUGUGAAAUCUCCGGGCUUAACUCGGAAAGGUCAGCCGAUACUGCGGGGCUAGAGUGCAGAAGGGGCAACUGGAAUUCUCGGUGUAGCGGUGAAAUGCGUAGAUAUCGAGAGGAACACCUGCGGCGAAGGCGGGUUGCUGGGCUGACACUGACGCUGAUUGUGCGAAAGCUAGGGGAGCGAACGGGAUUAGAUACCCCGGUAGUCCUAGCCUUAAACGAUGAAUGCUUGGUGUCUGGGGUUUUAUAGUCCCCGGGUGCCGUCGCUAACGCUUUAAGCAUUCC